AUGAGAUAUUCUGCAUUAUUGUUCUACCUGCUACAAAGGCACUCUAGUUGAUAAAAAUUUCUUAAGCCUGUUACACUACAAUUUUGUGAACACCUUGUGUAGUAUUAGGAAAAGCAAUAGACCUAUAAUUAGUGUCAACUUUUUCAUAGGAAAUUUUAGGUAUUUAGGUGUUAAUAAUGUUAUUUACUCGACAUCUCUAACGUUUGGAAGUAUUUCGGUACAUCCACCUUUAGGAAAAAUUAUGGUUUUGCCAUUGAUACCCUUUUUAAAGGCAUUGCAUUUUGAUUUUUUGCCUUUGAAACUAAAUCUUAGCCUUGUAUAGUAUUCCUACUUUUUUUGCAACUGUUUUUUCUUCCUCAUAAAGUGUCUGCAUUCAAUGGAUUCUAUUGGAUUCUUUCCUGAGCCAUCUGUCGCAUAGCUAUAUCAACUUUAUUCUCUACUUCACUGAGUCUCUCCCAUUUCAGUCUUGAGAACUUUCCUUAAGUCUGUUUAACUUGCCUACUACUUGGAAUAUCUUCCUGCCUUCAUAUCUAGCGUGCCAGCUAGUUUUAACCUUAUCUUAGAAUUCAGGUACCAAGUUCCAUAUGUUGAAAUAUCUAAAUAAGCUUUCUUCACUUCUAUUGCCAUUCUCCCAUUGAAUUACGACUAGACAAUGAUCAUAGAGACACUUGUUCAUAAAAUGCACUUCAAUUAUAGACAUAUGGUUGUUCCUUGUUCUGUCGAUCAGUACUCUGAAUUUCUCUGUACUCUGGCAUUAUCAAGUUACUUUCUAUUUUAUGUGAAGUAGGAGCAUGAUAAUUUUAUGUCCUAUAGAUCAGCAAACCCAACACAGUUCCUGAAAUACCUUAUUUGUGCUAAGGUGAAUGGACUCCCCACCCACUCCUUUAUAUUCAAAUCACAGUUGAAAUAACCCAUGACUACCUAAGGUCAAUUUAUUUGGUUACCCAUUCUCUCAUAUAUUUCCAUAAUUCUCUCUGAAUCCCCUGAUUAUUAUAACCAUACACCAUUUUCAUCCAAAAUAUUAUGUGACUUCACUAUGAAUCAUCUAAGUUGCAUUAUACAGAAUGUUUACAUCAAACAUGUCUAGUUUCUGUACCAUCAUAUUCUCUCUCUCAAAUAUUCAUAUAGGUUUGUAAUAAAAAAAACAAAUAUUACAAAGAUUAAGAGAUGUUUGAUUAGAUUUAUAUCUCUUAGUCUUUUUGUCCAAGAGAUCAAACAGCACAGUCAAAUUUUGCAUGAAAAGAUGCAUAACCUUCCAUUUUUCUAUCAUGAUUUGCCUUUUCAAAUUUUCAAAUUCUACUUUAUCCAUUUGGCAUGGGUUGAUUCUCAUCCCUGGUUUGUCCAAGAUCAGACCCCUCUUUUUACUUAACAUAUUCUCCCCCUUUCGCAGUGGCGGCUUAUUUUUCUCAUUUAUUUCUUAAACAUUUCAUAUGUAUUAGUUGUAGUAGUGGGUGUCCCAACCAUAUUAAAAGUUCUCCUACAAGGGGAUGUAAUGUUUUCUAAAAGGUUACAGUUCAUUGUCUCUCUUUUUAGUUCAUCUUACAUUCCUUUCACCUAAUUUCGUUUUCUUUAUCCUACACUUUAGGUCUUUUGUUAUCUUUGUUUACUGUUUCCUGAUCUCUUUGUUGUAUUCCUCAAUCCUUUAGCUCAUGGCUAAAGUUUACAUCUAUUAUACAAAGCUGGGUUUCAUUCACACUCCAUGAGGUUUUUUAUGAUUUUCCCAUCUUAUUUUUAACAUUAACCCUUUUAAAUACUCCUCAGCGGGGCAUCUCCACCAGAAUUUUAGCAUAAGUCAACCUUUCAUUAUUAGUAGUUGCUUUAUCAAUGUACCCAUGAAACUUGCAAUCUUUGUAAGGGUAUUCUUCCCCUAAUAAUAUCCAACCCGACCAGUCUCAUUCAUAUGUGAAGAUUAUCCACUCACUCCUCGAUGACUUCAAUAUAUGGUCUUUAUAGCUUCAUAACUAUUGUUUUCUAUUAAGUAUCUAGAUUCCCCUCUCCACUGUUUUCCCCUGUUUGCUUGGCAAUGGAAUCAGACAAAGAACACAUCCUUGUUGACUUAUGUUACUUUCAUCUAUUCUCACAAAUUUCCAAAUUCGAUGACAAUAUUCUUUCAUAACUAAAAUUCAAUGAAAAUACCCUUUCAUAACUAAUUGAGAAAGGUUAGAUCCCACAACAGGGCAAAUCACUGUCAUAUUUCAGUACUCUAUCUUGUCUAUUAUAUAUUCCAUAGUUCUUUUUAUAUUGGGGUGUAAUGAUCCUCACGGUUAUUUUUAUUAUUUUCAUGCAUUUUUGGUGUCUAGAGCGUUUCUAUAACUGUCCCAAGUUAUUUAUGACUUGUUGGAAUUGAUAGUCCAAUUUUCGGGCAAUUCAUUUGAGAAUUUUAGUAAUACCAAAUAUAUUGUGAAAUAUUCAAUUUAAAUUGGCAUUUGUUAAAAAUACAUUAUUACCCUUCUAAAAUAUUUUUUUAAUAUUGAUAAAAUUCGUUAAGUUAUGCUAUAUUUAUAUUACUUUAUAAUAGCUUUUAUGGUCUAUUAAUAUUUUACGCAAAAAUAAUAAAUCUAAAUAUAUUAAAAUAUUAUUCUUAUAUAUCGAGGCUUUAUUAAAAAUAUUUUUUUGUUAAUUAUAAUAUAAUUAAAAUAUUAUAUUUAUUUAAUCAAAAACUUAUGCAAUACUUAUAAUAUAUAAGUAAUGGGAUAAAAAUAAUAGGGAAUGCACCACCUUCAUCCCACGUGAAAGUGGAGGAAGAGGUGCAAAAUAUUACAAUUGUUAGUUGGCAGCAUUAUGGUAGAUUAGUGUUCUAAUAGUUGGCAGCCAUAGAAUUAGUUAGCAUUAACAAGAUAAAUAAUGGACAACACAUCAUUAUAUGAAAUAUAGUAAGGAAAAGACAUGUAAGCAAAUGUAUGUAUUCCUUUACUGGUUUCUUUUAACAUUGAUAUUUGUUUCUUUCCUUUCGUUCUUCUCUCACCUUUUAAAAAGACCAAAUUCGGUAUUUGUUGACUUAGACUUGUUGCUGCUACUGGGCAUUUUUUUAAUACUCAAACUCGGGUUCUAGUAGGUCAGUACUCAGAAGCUUCUCGAAGGGGCUUUUUAGCUUGGCAUCACGAUCUGAGUAUUAGCAGCUGACGUUGAUGUAGUUUCUACUUUUCAGUACUGAUUUGGAGUCGGGUAGCAUACUAUCGUCCGAGGAUGAUCCUCCUCUAUCUAUUCCAGUUUAGUGUUUUGUACUAGAGACUGUUUGUAAAAAUUGUGUAUAUUUUAAAUUUUGUCUAGUACUCUGGAUAUUUUUUAGUAGUAGCUCUAGUACCCACCUUAUCAGGUCUUUGGGAGGGAUCCGUUGUAAAUUUGGUUUUUUUUCCCUCUCUCAUUUUAAUAUAUAAUAUAUGUUUCCUUUGUGUUUAUCA